rnacentral:rRNA from 1 species
AGAGUUUGAUCCUGGCUCAGAUUGAACGCUGGCGGCAUGCCUAACACAUGCAAGUCGAGCGGCAGCAUACUUUAGGGAAACCUGAGGUGAUGGCGAGCGGCGGACGGGUGAGUAACACGUAGGAACCUGACUAGAAGAGAGGGAUAACUGAGGGAAACCUCGGCUAAUACCGAAUAGAACUCGAGAGAGGGAAGGUGGCC